rnacentral:rRNA from 1 species
AUUGAACGCUGGCGGCAGGCCUAACACAUGCAAGUCGAACGAGUGGCGGACGGGUGAGUAAUGUCUGGGAAACUGCCCGAUGGCGGGGGAUAACUACUGGAAGCGGUAGCUAAUACCGCAUACCAUCGGCUUUGACCAGAUGGGAGUAGCUAGUAGGUGGGGUAACGGCUCACCUAGGCGAAGAUCCCUCGCUGGUCUGAGAGGAUGACCAGCCACAAUGGAAAUGAGACACGGUCCAGACGCCGACGGGAGGCAGCAGUGGGGAAUAGUGCACAAUGGGCGCAAGCCUGAUGCAGACAUGCCGCGUGUAUGAAGAAGGCCUGCGGGUUGUAAAGUACUUUCAGCGAGGAGGCGUUACUCGCAGAAGAAGCACCGGCUAACUCCGUGCCAGCAGCCGCGGUAAUAC